rnacentral:rRNA from 1 species
UACAGAGGUCUCAAGCGUUGUUCGGAUUCAUUGGGCGUAAAGGGCUCGUAGGCGGUUUGUCGCGUCGGGAGUGAAAAUCCAGGGCUUAACUCUGGACUGGCUUCCGAUACGGGCAGACUAGAGGUAUGCAGGGGAGAACGGAAUUCCUGGUGUAGCGGUGAAAUGCGCAGAUAUCAGGAGGAACACCGGUGGCGAAGGCGGUUCUCUGGGCAUUACCUGACGCUGAGGAGCGAAAGUGUGGGGAGCGAACAGG